rnacentral:lncRNA from 1 species
AUGUCCGCACAGAGCCUGCUCCACAGCGUCUUCUCUUGCUCCUCGCCCGCAUCUGGCGGCGCGGCCUCAGCCAAGGGCUUCUCGAAGAGGAAGCUGCGCCAGACCCGCAGCUUGGACCCAGCCCUGAUCGGCGGCUGCGGGAGCGAGACGGGAACAGAGGGUUGCGCUCGGGGGUCCACAGCAGGCCGCCUCUACUCCCCGCAGCCCCUAGCCGAGAAUCUUGGCCCCCGCUCGGUGUCUUCUCCCCGGAGCCUGACUUCUCGGGCCAACUGGCUCCCCACACACAGACCUUUCUGCUCGUCCUUCUCCACACCCAGCACCCCGCAGGAGAAGUCGCCUUCUGGCAGCUUCCACUUUGACUACGAAGUCCCCUUGGGUCGAAGUGGUCUCAAGAAGAGCAUGGGCUGGGACUUGCCUUCGGUCCUGGCUGGGCCUGGCAGUGGCCGCGGCGGGGCAAGCAUCCUCUGUUCCUCGGGAGGAGGCCCCAAUGGCAUCUUUGCUUCUCCCAGGAGGUGGCUCCAGCAGAGGAAGUUUCAGCCCCCACCCAACAAUCGCGGUCACCCCUACAUCGUGUGGAAGUCUGAGGAAAAAAGCACAUGGUGAGGAAAAGAAGACAAGAAAACAAGUGAUGUUGUCAACCUUCUGCAAGAAUGAUAUGAUCGAUAAUUACAAGCAGCUGAGCAGAAACAAUGUGGGCAUGCUUAAAAUUUGCUUAAGCAGAUUCUAUGCUUCCUUUCCUGACGCUGUUAAAAUUCUUCAGCAUAAGAGCCCUUGAACAAGAGAAUAUUGCCUUUUUCUCCCUACUGAGUCUAUCCAAACAUGCAGAGUGUAUGCUUUGUUUAAGUGCUGCAGAGAUAGUCUGUGGAAAUAUUUAUAAUAUGCAUACCAGUUUGUUCACGUAAUUUAAAUACAUG